UACCAGCACCCCGAGUGGUCGGGACGUUUAUUGGGCCUAAAGCAUCCGUAGCCGGUUCUACAAGUCUUCCGUUAAAUCCAACUGCUUAACAGGUGGGCUGCGGAAGAUACUAUAGAGCUAGGAGGCGGGAGAGGCAAGCGGGUACUCGAUGGGUAGGGGUAAAAUCCGUUGAUCCAUUGAAGACCACCAGUGGCGAAGGCGGCUUGCCAGAACGCGCUCGACGGGUGAGGGAUGAAAGCUGGGGGAGCAAACCGG
rnacentral:rRNA from 1 species